AUUGAACGCUGGCGGCAUGCCUUACACAUGCAAGUCGAACGGUAACAGGUCUUCGGAUGCUGACGAGUGGCGAACGGGUGAGUAAUACAUCGGAACGUGCCUAGUAGUGGGGGAUAACUACUCGAAAGAGUGGCUAAUACCGCGUGAGAUCUACGGAUGAAAGCAGGGGAUCGCAAGACCUUGUGCUACUAGAGCGGCCGAUGGCAGAUUAGGUAGUUGGUGGGAUAAAAGCUUACCAAGCCGACGAUCUGUAGCUGGUCUGAGAGGACGAUCGGCCACACUGGGAAUGAGACACGGCCCAGACUCCUACGGGAGGCAGCAGUGGGGAAUUUUGGACAAUGGGCGCAAGCCUGAUCCAGCAAUGCCGCGUGCAGGAUGAAGGCCUUCGGGUUGUAAACUGCUUUUGUACGGAACGAAAAGCCCUGGGUUAAUACCCUGGGGUCAUGACGGUACCGUAAGAAUAAGCACCGGCUAACUACGUGCCAGCCGCCGCCGUAA
rnacentral:rRNA from 1 species